GAUGAACGCUGCGGCGUGCCUAACACAUGCAAGUCGAGCGAAGCACUUUACUUUGAAUCUUCGGAGGAAGAGUUCAGUGACUGAGCGGCGGACGGGUGAGUAACGCGUGGGUAACCUGCCUCAUACAGGGGGAUAACAGUUAGAAAUGACUGCUAAUACCGCAUAAGACCCCGGCACCGCAUGGUGCAGAGGUAAAAACUCCGGUGGUAUGAGAUGGACCCGCGUCUGAUUAGCUAGUUGGUAAGGUAACGGCUUACCAAGGCGACGAUCAGUAGCCGACCUGAGAGGGUGACCGGCCACAUUGGGACUGAGACACGGCCCAAACUCCUACGGGAGGCAGCAGUGGGGAAUAUUGCACAAUGGGGGAAACCCUGAUGCAGCGACGCCGCGUGAGCGAAGAAGUAUUUCGGUAUGUAAAGCUCUAUCAGCAGGGAAGAAACUGACGGUACCUGACUAAGAAGCACCGGCUAAAUACGAGCCAGCAGCCGCCGUAAGAC
rnacentral:rRNA from 1 species